rnacentral:rRNA from 1 species
GACGAACGCUGGCGGCGUGCCUAAUACAUGCAAGUAGAACGCAGUUGCGAACGGGUGAGUAACGCGUAGGUAACUGCCUCAUAGCGGGGGAUAACUAUUGGAAACGAUAGCUAAUACCGCAUACUGUGCGAUGGACCUUCGUUGUAUUAGCUAGUUGGUGAGGUAAAGGCUCACCAAGGCGACGAUACAUAGCCGACCUUAGAGGGUGGUCGGCCAAACUGGGACUGAAGCACCGCCCAGGCGUCUACGGGAGGCAACAGUAGGGAAUUAUUGGCCAUGGACGGAAGUCUGGCCGAGCAACGCCGCGUGAGUGAAGAAGGUUUUUGGAUCGUAAAGCUCUGUUGUGAGAGAAGCGGUAACUAAACAGAAAGGGACGGCUAACUACGUGCCAGCAGCCGCGGUAAUUC